rnacentral:rRNA from 1 species
UACGGGGGGAGCAAGCGUUGUUCGGAUUUACUGGGCGUAAAGGGCGCGUAGGCGGUCAGCACAAGUCAGUUGUGAAAUCUCCGAGCUUAACUCGGAAAGGUCAACUGAUACUGUGCGACUAGAGUGCGGAAGGGGCAACUGGAAUUCUUGGUGUAGCGGUGAAAUGCGUAGAUAUCAAGAGGAACACCUGCGGCGAAGGCGGGUUGCUGGGCCGACACUGACGCUGAAGUGCGAAAGCCAGGGGAGCAAACGGG